rnacentral:rRNA from 1 species
GACGAACGCUGGCGGCGUGCCUAAUACAUGCAAGUAGAACGCUGAAGAGAGGAGCUUGCUCUUCUUGGAUGAGUUGCGAACGGGUGAGUAACGCGUAAGUAACCUGCCUUGUAGCGGGGGAUAACUAUUGGAAACGAUAGCUAAUACCGCAUAACAAUGGAUGACACAUGUCAUUUAUUUGAAAGGGGCAAUUGCUCCACUACAAGAUGGACCUGCGUUGUAUUAGCUAGUAGGUGAGGUAAUGGCUCACCUAGGCGACGAUACAUAGCCGACCUGAGAGGGUGAUCGGCCACACUGGGACUGAGACACGGCCCAGACUCCUACGGGAGGCAGCAGGAGGGAAUCUUCGGCAAUGGGGGCAACCCUGACCGAGCAACGCCGCGUGAGUGAAGAAGGUUUUCGGAUCGUAAAGCUCUGUUGUAAGUCAAGAACGGGUGUGAGAGUGGAAAGUUCACACUGUGACGGUAGCUUACCAGAAAGGGACGGCUAACUACGUG